GAAGAUCUUCUACUCGUGCGGUCAGCCUAUGACACACAAAAAAGAGUUUAGGACGAAUUCCUGUCCUACCAUUUGUUCUCAUCAUGCCCACUCUUCGUAAGGAAGACUGACCUAAUCUUGCUUACCAAGACAGAUAUGAAUGCGUGCUUCCAGCUAAGUGAAUGAGCGACCACCUCCAGGAUCCCUUUCUGAACCAAUCCCCG
rnacentral:misc_RNA from 1 species